GAUGAACGCUGGCGGCGUGCUUAACACAUGCAAGUCGAACGAAGCGCUUAAACGGAUUUCUUCGGAUUGAAGUUUUUGCGACUGAGUGGCGGACGGGUGAGUAACGCGUGGGUAACCUGCCUCAUACAGGGGGAUAACAGUUAGAAAUGACUGCUAAUACCGCAUAAGACCACAGCACCGCAUGGUGCAGGGGUAAAAACUCCGGUGGUAUGAGAUGGAUCCGCGUCUGAUUAGCUAGUUGGUAAGGUAACGGCUUACCAAGGCAACGAUCAGUAGCCGACCUGAGAGGGUGACCGGCCACAUUGGGACUGAGACACGGCCCAA
rnacentral:rRNA from 1 species